AGAGUUUGAUCCUGGCUCAGGAUGAACGCUAGCGACAGGCUUAACACAUGCAAGUCGAGGGGCAGCGGGGGUAGCAAUACCCGCCGGCGACCGGCGCACGGGUGAGUAACGCGUAUGCAACUUACCUAUCAGAGGGGGGAUAACCCGGCGAAAGUCGGACUAAUACCGCAUGAAGCAGGGGCCCCGCAUGGGGAUAUUUGCUAAAGAUUCAUCGCUGAUAGAUAGGCAUGCGUUCCAUUAGGCAGUUGGCGGGGUAACGGCCCACCAAACCGACGAUGGAUAGGGGUUCUGAGAGGAAGGUCCCCCACAUUGGUACUGAGACACGGACCAAACUCCUACGGGAGGCAGCAGUGAGGAAUAUUGGUCAAUGGGCGUAAGCCUGAACCAGCCAAGUCGCGUGAGGGAUGAAGGUUCUAUGGAUCGUAAACCUCUUUUAUAAGGGAAUAAAGUGCGGGACGUGUCCCGUUUUGUAUGUACCUUAUGAAUAAGGAUCGGCUAACUCCGUGCCAGCAGCCGCGGUAAUACGGAGGAUCCGAGCGUUAUCCGGAUUUAUUGGGUUUAAAGGGUGCGUAGGCGGCCUUUUAAGUCAGCGGUGAAAGUCUGUGGCUCAACCAUAGAAUUGCCGUUGAAACUGGGGGGCUUGAGUAUGUUUGAGGCAGGCGGAAUGCGUGGUGUAGCGGUGAAAUGCAUAGAUAUCACGCAGAACCCCGAUUGCGAAGGCAGCCUGCCAAGCCAUUACUGACGCUGAUGCACGAAAGCGUGGGGAUCAAACAGGAUUAGAUACCCUGGUAGUCCACGCAGUAAACGAUGAUCACUAGCUGUUUGCGAUACACUGUAAGCGGCACAGCGAAAGCGUUAAGUGAUCCACCUGGGGAGUACGCCGGCAACGGUGAAACUCAAAGGAAUUGACGGGGGCCCGCACAAGCGGAGGAACAUGUGGUUUAAUUCGAUGAUACGCGAGGAACCUUACCCGGGUUUGAACGCAUUCGGACCGAGGUGGAAACACCUUUUCUAGCAAUAGCCGUUUGCGAGGUGCUGCAUGGUUGUCGUCAGCUCGUGCCGUGAGGUGUCGGCUUAAGUGCCAUAACGAGCGCAACCCUUGCCACUAGUUACUAACAGGUGAUGCUGAGGACUCUGGUGGGACUGCCAGCGUAAGCUGCGAGGAAGGCGGGGAUGACGUCAAAUCAGCACGGCCCUUACAUCCGGGGCGACACACGUGUUACAAUGGCGUGGACAAAGGGAGGCCACCUGGCGACAGGGAGCGAAUCCCCAAACCACGUCUCAGUUCGGAUCGGAGUCUGCAACCCGACUCCGUGAAGCUGGAUUCGCUAGUAAUCGCGCAUCAGCCAUGGCGCGGUGAAUACGUUCCCGGGCCUUGUACACACCGCCCGUCAAGCCAUGGGAGCCGGGGGUACCUGAAGUCCGUAACCGAAAGGAUCGGCCUAGGGUAAAACUGGUGACUGGGGCUAAGUCGUAACAAGGUAGCCGUACCGGAAGGUGCGGCUG
rnacentral:rRNA from 1 species